GAUGAACGCUGACAGAAUGCUUAACACAUGCAAGUCUACUUGAAUUUGGGUUUUUAACUUAGGUUUGGGUGGCGGACGGGUGAGUAACGCGUAAAGAACUUGCCUCACAGCUAGGGACAACAUUUAGAAAUGAAUGCUAAUACCUAAUAUUAUGAUAAUAGGGCAUCCUAUAAUUAUGAAAGCUAUAUGCGCUGUGAGAGAGCUUUGCGUCCUAUUAGCUAGUUGGUAAGGUAAAGGCUUACCAAGGCGAUGAUAGGUAGCCGGCCUGAGAGGGUGGACGGCCACAAGGGGACUGAGAUACGGCCCUUACUCCUACGGGAGGCAGCAUGGGGAAUAUUGGACAAUGGAGGAAACUCUGAUCCAGCAAUUCUGUGUGUGUGAAGAAGGUCUUCGGAUUGUAAAACACUUUUAGUUGGGAAGAAACAAAUGACGGUACCAA
rnacentral:rRNA from 1 species